rnacentral:lncRNA from 1 species
UGCCUUACUAUUACACAGACCAGUUCAAUUACAAAGUACUUUUGAUACAACACACUCAUAUGGAAACAAACAGUCAACACUUUAAUAUAUAUACCUUAGCAUACACUUUGUAAUAUUUGUACAAAAAGAUGACUAAUAACCAUUUUUGGUAAAGGGUUUACAAUGAAAAAAUAAAUAGAGACGUCUUUUGCUACAAACAAGCUUAAAAUAAGUACAUUGCAACCAAAAUUUUUGCUACCAACCCUACAAAAACUCUUAUAAAUCAAUCAAUUGCUCCAAUAUGGCUUCACCCAUCCAAUAGAUUCUUGCAAAACCUAGUAAGAAAAUAAAAUAUCAUUUUAGAGUAUGACUCUACACAUCAAUAUAAGAAUAUAACAAGGUUUUACUCUUUGUAAUGCCAACAAAGGUACAAAUGUAAAAGAAAAUCAACUUUUGAUAUCCAUGAGUCUCCCAAUCAACUUUAACACACCUCAACUAAUCUCAAGGUCAAGAAACCUUGUAGGAUUUUAAAUCUAUGGUAUGAGACCACUAUAAUUCGAACUCAAUCACUCAGAGAUUUUUUUUUUCAACGGUCUCCAUGACAAUACUUCUAGCCCUUGUCACUUCUUAUAAUUGGCCCCUUAUUACUCAAAUGGACAUAAACAACACUUUCUUAAAUGGAGAUUUUUUCUGAAGAUGUUCAUAUGUCCUUACUAAUGGGCUAUAACUUUCAAAGUGCUAAGAAAAGGGGAGAAACUAGCCUACAGACUAAAUAGAUCAAUCUACGAUCUUAAACAAGCUUCAAGACAAUGGAUUGUUAAGUUUGCAUCAACAUGAUCAUUACACGGUUUUCAUCAAUCAAAGUUCGAUUAUUCAUUAUAUACUCUAGGCAACGAAGAUGGUUUUGUGGCACCUAUUAGUAUAUCUAGACGACAUAUUACUAACUAGACCAUCCCUCAAGUAAUUGACUCUGUUAAAAGUGUUUUAGAAAGGACACUAUAAACUCAAAGAUUUGGAACAAGCUAAAUAUUUUAUGGGCUUAAAACUGUCUUGUUCUAAAAAAGGACUCAUGCUUUCCAAAAGAAAAUAUUGUCCGCAGAUACUUGAAGAUAUGGAUUUUUUAGAUGCAUAAAUCAGUAACGUUGCCUAUGGAUCCCAAUCUAAAACUCUCAAAAGAUGAAGUAAAAUUCAUUGUUGACGAGGAUAUCACUUGCUACACAAGAUUGAUUGGAAGAUAUUAUAUCCACAAAUAUCUCGUUCAGAUAUUUGUUUUGUUGUCCAUCGCCUUAGUCGGUUCCUUCAAAGGCUCACAAAAACUCAUUUAGAUACCACACGCCACUUGUUGAAAUACUUGAAGAGAUCGUCAGGCCAAGGCGUCUUGAUCAAACCAGUUGCUACUUUUCACCUAAUAGCCUUUGUUGAUGUUGAUUAGGGAGUAUGUCUCAACACUGGUCGAUCCAUAACUGGCAUUUGUAUCUUUUUGGGAGAUUCCAUAGUUUAUUGGAAGUAAAAAAAAAAAAAAAAAAAAAAGCAAGUCAUAGUCUCGAGAUCGUCUACAAAAGUCAAAUAUAGAGCACUAGCUUUAGUUACAAGUGAACACGUAUGGAUUACACAAUUACUCACUAAUCUACUUGUAAGACCCUCGUUACUAACAAUAGUAUUCUAUUCUAUGAUAAGCAGGCCACAACUGCAAUUGCUUCCAACCCAACAUUCCAUGAGAGGGCUAAACACACAUAGAUUGACUGCCACUUUGUUAGAGACAAAAUCGUCGAUGGAUUCCUCGAAGUCGUGCCCAUCAAAUCUAGACUACAACUAGCAUAACAAUUGGAAGUUUGUUAGGGUAAAGAGGUAGGAGCUUGUUAGAAUAUGUUAAACAUCAAACUUCCCCAACAAAGGACUUGAGCUUUGUAUUUAAUUAAUUGGUGGAGUUAUUUUCUGAUAGUAAGAUAAGUUCCUUUAUUCAACACUUGGUUACAUCUUAGAGUGUUUAAAAUCUUUUGAAAUAUAUACAUAUAUAUAUAUAUAUAUAUAUAUACACAAAGAUUCAAAUGUAACACAUUAUAGAAGAAAGAGGUUAUGUUAAUUAAACAUUGAACUCAUGUUAUCUACGUCUCUUUGAUUUUGCAAAUUGUGAUAUGGGGAAAAAAAGAGGACCACUACCUAGAGGGAAGAUUCAAAAGCAUGAUACGUGUAAGGCUCCAUCACCCUCCCUUUAGGAGUAAUCUACAUCCAGCUGGACAUACACAACACAUGAGAAAUGAUGCUGACAUCGACCAAAGGUCCCACGUGUCAUCUUUGUCAUACAAGGAUUAGGUUGCUUAUCGUGUGGUCAUCACAGUCCUUUCUUCUCGAAUUUACCCGCAACGCCACCGCCCACUUUGAUAUUUCAUUCGCCCUCUAUAUAACUUUUCCAAAAAUAUCUCACAUUUCAACUUUUACCCGUUUCCCAAAACCAAAACAAAUUCGAGUUAUUCUUCUCUUACAUGAAUUCCCACUUUUUCUGCAACUCUAUCUUCCAUUAAUGACUACGCUCGCCAAGCUCCACGUCUACCCACAAACUUUCGAUGGUCCAAGUACUAGAGAUGGGCAUCUGUUCGGAGCUCUUGGUCCGGGACUUCACCGGUUUGAUGCUGGAGUAUCGACAAGACGUGGUCGUGGGUUGUGCUUGAGAAAGUGUAGAUCCUUCAGAGGAGGGGAUGGUGGGGAUUUUGAGAAGGAGAAUAGUAAAGGGAGGAACCGGAGAAAUUCGAGGUUAAAAGAGGUGAAAAUGAAGAAGGAAAGUCAGUUUUGGAAAUUAUUGAGGUCUGGUGUUUUGGGUAAGUUUAAUUUGCUAAUGGGAUCGGAUGUUGAUCAGGGGAAGCUUAUGGCUAAUAUGGAGGGUUUGCUUUCUUCGGUGAGUAUUGCUCUGUGUUGCUCUUCUUAUGUUCUUCGUAAACCCUGUCUCAAGUUCAUGUAUUCUUUGUUCAUCAAGCGAUAUUGAGUUGUUUGGAACAAACUUGAGGAUUUUUCAAAUAGCCCCCUGAUACAUGGUUCUUUACCAUUACUUGGCUUGUUGAGCAAAUGUGCAUGUAGUUUUAGCUCAAAUCACUGUACCUUGAUGUUCGAUUUUUUUUAGUAUAAGAAACCAAUCUUAUAAAAGACAUUAAAAAAAUAUACUCAUACAUCCUCCAAGAAUGGCUGCAUUCGAAAGAAUGAUACUAAGCUGAUAAUUACGAGAAGUUUGACAAACGGAUGCCCAUAAGGAGGCUUUAAAUCUCGCCCCCUCCAUAUUUGUUCUAAGGAAUUCAAAUUGGAAGUUUUCGUUUUCGUUUUCGUUAUUUGUUUUUAGGAUUUCGAAUUUGAAUUUCGUAUAAUUGGAUAAAGAUAUGAAUGAACAAGAAGGAAACUACUCUGGCUACUGUGGCAUCAAAUUGAACCAAAGCCAACUUAAGUCGUAAAUGUAUAGAUCUAUUUUUUUCUAUAUGGUAGAUUUGAUGUAUGUAUACUCAUGAACCAAGGACAUAUGCUUUAAUUUUUUUAUUGGAGACUGUAGUAGUAUCACUGACUGUAGCUCCUUUAUUAUCUUUAAUAAAUAGGCUGCAGUCCAAAUUGGAAGAUAUAUUGUUACAAUGAUGAGCACUGGUGUCGUACUUGCUGUCGGGUUUCAGUUAUCAGGUAUACAACAUUUUAAAAUUAAAAAAAAAAAUACUAUUGUCAUUGUCGAUGUUAAUAUGAAUUCUGUUUCUUGAAAAUUAUGAAGGUGGUGACAGCCAGAUGAACACCUUGAUUUGGUAUAGUUGGCUCGGAGGGGUUAUUAUUGGAACCAUGAUUGGUGCGAACAUGGUAUUAGAGGAGCACUGCAGUGCUGGUCCACGCAAUGUUGUUAUAACUGGAAGGUAACUAAUCACUCCGCAGGGGGAAUGUAGAUAAUUGGCACAUUGUUUUAAUAAUUACGUGGUGAUAGGAAGAUUACUUUAUCUAAUGUUCAUUGUUGGCUUGUUUGAUCUUCCUUUGAUAUAUUAAACUGCCUGCCAUGCUCGUAACAUGAAGACUCAUAUAUGAUCUGUUGUCUGUUACAUGGAUGGUUGAUUAUGCAGCACAAGAGGAUUGGGGAAAGCACUAGCCAGAGAGUUUCUUCUUUCAGGAGACCGUGUUGUUGUAGCUUCUCGCAGGUGGUUUUCAGAAUUAAAUUAAAGUUCUGAUACUUAAUAUAUCAAGGUUUUUACACCUUGCUCACAUCACAUUUCCUUGCCCAAUAAUUUUUUGAAGACAGCUCUGAAUCUGUUCAAGAAACUCUAAGGGAGCUCGAGGAAAACUUAAAAGGUCUAAUGGUCAGAAGUGGUUCUUCCAAUAAAAGCCUGGCACAUGCUAAAGUUGUUGGCACAACGUGCAAUGUUUGCGACCCUGAAGACGUUCAUAAAUUAGCCAAUUUUACUUUAAAUGAACUUGGUUCCAUUGACAUUUGGGUGAGUCAUGAACUUACAGUGAACUUUUCAUGCUCAAACUUGUACUAUAUGCUGCUUUUCUUGAAGUCUUUCUGUAAUCAUAAUUUGAUUUUAGAUCUACUGAUACAUUCUUAAAAUAGUGCCUUCAUGCCUUGUUCACUUUGAGGGAAUUUAUCUUACUAUAAAAAAAUAAGCUAUGCUUAUUCACAAACAUUUAAAUUUUACAUCAUUAAGGAUAUCAAAUCAUGCCUAUUUUCAGUCUUGUUAAAAUAAAAUCUAAUUCAAGAUUUUAUUUUAACAAAUUGUGGACAGAUAAACAAUGCGGGCACGAAUAAAGGCUUUAGACCAUUACUGCAGUUUACAGAUGAAGAUAUUACUCAGGUAAGCUAAAAUUAUUAAUUCUGAAUUUCCCCCCUAAACUUCUCUUGAUAAAUCUGAACAUAAUGUUCUCCAAUAGAUAUGAGCUCUUUGAAUAUGUUGAGCGUUGUCAGUUUAUUGGGCAUAUUUAAGAUACAACUUACAAGUUGAUUUAAUUUCAUACACUGAUUAUUUGAUAGAUUCUCUCAACAAACCUCGUUGGUUCCCUUCUUUGUACUCGAGAAGCCAUGCGUGUAAUGAGAAAUCAGGCUAAAGGAGGGCAAAUAUUUAACAUGGAUGGUGCUGGUUCAGGAGGUUCAAGUACUCCUUUGACGGCUGUGUAAGUUCAUUGGCUCUUUGCUUACUAUGAAAUGUAAAUGUAGUUGUUAUGUCUAUGAAACCAACGUUGGUUUUGGUGUUUAUGCAAUUUAGUU